GACGAACGCUGGCGGCGCGCUUAACACAUGCAAGUCGAACGGAAAGGCCUGCUUUCCCUUGUGGAUUGCGGGUACUCGAGUGGCGAACGGGUGAGUAACACGUGAGUGAUCUGCCCCCAACUUGGGUAUAAGCCUGGGAAACUGGGUCUAAUUCCCGAUAGGACUGCAGGGUGGUGCCUGUGGUGGAAAACGAUUUUCUAGUGGUUGGGGAUGAGCUCGCGGCCUAUCAGCUUGUUGGUGGGGUAAUGGCCUACCAAGGCGGCGACGGGUAGCCGGCCUGGGAGGGUGGACGGCCACAUUGGGACUGAGAUACGGCCCAGACUCCUACGGGAGGCAGCAGUGGGGAAGAUUGCACAAUGGGCGGAAGCCUGAUGCAGCGACGCCGCGUGGGGGAUGACGGCCUUCGGGUUGUAAGCUCCUUUCGACCGCGAGGAAGCCACCUGGUUGGAAGGGUGGUGACGGUAGUGGUAGAAGAAGCACCGGCUAACUACGUG
rnacentral:rRNA from 1 species